rnacentral:rRNA from 1 species
UACGUAGGGGGCAAGCGUUGUCCGGAUUUAUUGGGCGUAAAGAGCGUGUAGGCGGUUUGGUAGGUCCGUUGUGAAAACUCGAGGCUCAACCUCGAGACGCCGAUGGAAACCAUCAGACUAGAGUCCGGAAGAGGAGAGUGGAAUUCCUGGUGUAGCGGUGAAAUGCGUAGAGAUCGGGAGGAACAUCAGUGGCGAAGGCGGCCAUCUGGGACAACACUGACGCUCAGGCACGAAAGCGUGGGGAGCAAACAGG